CACCAUCCAGGGUCCAGGAAGGGAAUAUCUAUCUAUUUUCUUCAGGCAGAAUACAGAGUAGGAGCAGAUCUGUAUAAUGGCUUUCCUUCUGCACAGUUCCCCAAGGCUAUUUCUCAGCUGGAAUCAAGGGCAGAUGGCCAGAACAAAGAAAGGAUUUCCAGAUUUGGCCUUACAAACCACUGAAUGAACAACCACUUGAAGUUUAAGUACACAGUUAAAUGUAACUUAGUCAUACUUUAAUGGCCAGAUGAAAGGGGAUUAAAAGUUUGCAAGGGGAAAAAAAGAAGAGCAAAAUGCAGCAAUAAUCUUGAGUUAUCACCUUCAAAGGAUGUUUUCAACAAGAUGUCCGUGUUUAAGGUUGAAUAAUUGGAUAAUGGACUGCAUGAUAUCUGACAGAUUAUUUUCCUUCAGAAAUGCUUUUCUGAUCUGUUGAAGACAUUGAGAGGGAAACACUUUACAGUUCUUCUGAAACAAAGAGUCUGACAUUGUCUGACAUCUUACAGUCACUGAUGGGGAAAGCGAGGACUGAAGGUGGUCAGGAUGGGUGAAAUCUGCUGCCUGGGUCCAGAACUGACAAAUGCACUUUUGGAAAUGGACUAGAAAACACAAAAUGCAAAGGUUCUGC
rnacentral:lncRNA from 1 species